GCUAAAUCAUUGGGCUUGCGUUUAGUUAGCAAAGGCUGCUGGGAUUUUAGGGCUGUCUUUUUAAAAGUGGAGCGGGGCGCAGUUUGUUACUGGUUCUUAAUUUAUUAGUACAGUUGCGGUUAUUUAAACAUUUCAGGUACCAAAGAUGUCUGAAAAAGGAGACUCUGAACUUGCAUCUGUCGUUGAGAACAAACAAAGUGAAGUACCUGCUGUGUCUGAAAAUGGAGUUAAUGAAGCUAUGUCUGAUUUGGAGAAGAAAGUCAGCCAACAGAUUGAAGUUAGCUUUUUUGUCUCUUAAAUUCUGUCUGGUUUGAAUAAAUUUGUUGUAAGACCAUG